rnacentral:rRNA from 1 species
UGGGGAAUCUUGGACAAUGGGCGAAAGCCUGAUCCAGCCAUGCCGCGUGAGUGAAGAAGGCCUUAGGGUUGUAAAGCUCUUUUGCCCGGGAAGAUAAUGACGGUACCGGGAGAAUAAGCCCCGGCAAACUUCGUGCCAGCAGCCGCGGUAAUACGAAGGGGGCUAGCGUUGUUCGGAUUUACUGGGCGUAAAGCGCACGUAGGCGGAUUGUUAAGUCGGGGGUGAAAUCCUGGAGCUCAACUUCAGAAUUGCCUUCGAUACUGGCUUUCUAGAGGCUGGAAGAGGUUAGUGGAAUUCCCAGUGUAGAGGUGAAAUUCGUAGAUAUUGGGAAGAACACCAGUGGCGAAGGCGGCUAACUGGUCCAGAUCUGACGCUGAGGUGCGAAGGCGUGGGGAGCAAACAGGAUUAGAUACCCUGGUAGUCCACGCCGUAAACUAUGGGUGCUAGCCGUCGGUGAGCUUGCUCAUCGGUGGCGCAGCUAACGCUUUAAGCA